CCUACGGGAGGCAGCAGUGGGGAAUAUUGCACAAUGGGGGAAACCCUGAUGCAGCGACGCCGCGUGAGUGAAGAAGUACUUCGGUAUGUAAAGCUCUAUCAGCAGGGAAGAUAAUGACGGUACCUGAUUAAGAAGCCCCGGCUAACUACGUGCCAGCAGCCGCGGUAAUACGUAGGGGGCACGCGUUAUCCGGAUUUACUGGGUGUAAAGGGAGCGUAGACGGCGUCCCAAGUCUGGAGUGAAAGGCCGGGGCUCAACCCCGGGACUGAAUUGGAAACUGGGAGGCUGGAGUGCAGGAGGGGUAAGCGGAAUGCCUAGUGUAGCGGUGAAAUGCGUAGAUAUUAGGAGGAACACCAGUGGCGAAGGCGGCUUACUGGACGGUAACUGACGUUGAGGCUCGAAAGCGUGGGGAGCAAACAGGAUUAGAUACCCGUGUAGUC
rnacentral:rRNA from 1 species